rnacentral:rRNA from 1 species
CCUACGGGGGGCAGCAGUGGGGGAUAUUGCACAAUGGGGGGAACCCUGAUGCAGCGACGCCGCGUGGGCGAUGGAGUGCUUCGGCAUGUAAAGCCCUAUCAGCAGGGAAGAAAAUGACGGUACCUGACUAAGAAGCCCCGGCUAAAUACGUGCCAGCAGCCGCGGUAAUACGUAUGGGGCAAGCGUUAUCCGGAUUUACUGGGUGUAAAGGGAGCGUAGGCGGCCUGGCAAGCCUGAUGUGAAAUACCGGGGCCCAACCCCGGGGCUGCAUUGGGAACUGCCAGGCUGGAGUGCCGGAGAGGCAGGCGGAAUUCCUAGUGUAGCGGUGAAAUGCAUAGAUAUCACGCAGAACUCCGAUUGCGAAGGCAGCAUACCGGCGCUCAACUGACGCUCAUGCACGAAAGCGUGGGUAUCGAACAGGAUUAGAUACCCUUGUAGUC